rnacentral:rRNA from 1 species
CCUACGGGUGGCAGCAGUGAGGAAUAUUGGUCAAUGGCCGGAAGGCUGAACCAGCCAUGCCGCGUGCAGGAAGACGGCUCUAUGGGUUGUAAACUGCUUUUGUACAAGGAUAAACCUGUCUACGUGUAGUUAGUUGCAUGUACCGUACGAAUAAGGAUCGGCUAACUCCGUGCCAGCAGCCGCGGUAAUACGGAGGAUCCAAGCGUUAUCCGGAUUUAUUGGGUUUAAAGGGUGCGUAGGCGGAUUGAUAAGUUAGAGGUGAAAUGUCCGAGCUUAACUCGGGAACUGCCUCUAAUACUGUUGAUCUAGAGAGUAGAUGCGGUAGGCGGAAUGUAUGGUGUAGCGGUGAAAUGCUUAGAGAUCAUACAUAACACCGAUUGCGAAGGCAGCUUACCAAUCUAUAUCUGACGUUGAGGCACGAAAGCGUGGGGAGCAAACAGGAUUAGAUACCCCAGUAGUC